AGAGAGAGACAUGCGCGCAUAUCCAAUAAGCGGAGGAAAAGAAACUAACUAGGAUUCCCUCAGUAACGGCGAGUGAAGCGGGAAGAGCUCAAAUUUGAAAUCUUCAAGGUUCUACCUUGACGAAUUGUAGUUUAAAGAAGUGUUUUCUGUUGGAGUUUUGGUAAAAGUUCUUUGGAAUAGGACAUCAUAGAGGGUGAGAAUCCCGUAUUUGACCAUUAUUUCCAGCUUUGUGAUACACUUUCAAAGAGUCGGAUUGUUUGGGAAUGCAGUCCAAAAUAGGGUGGUAAAUUUCAUCUAAAGCUAAAUACUUGGCGAGAGACCGAUAGCGAACAAGUACCGUGAGGGAAAGAUGAAAAGAACUUUGAAAAGAGAGUUAAACAGUACGUGAAAUUGUCAAAAGGGAAGCGUUUGACACCAGUGUUGUCUUUCUCGAAAAUCAAUUAAAAAAGGCAGGAUUUUGUGUUGUAUUGACUUUAUCAGCUUUCUGCACUCUUUUCUUGUCUUUUUUAAUGCACUUUUCGUUUAACAAGUCAACAUCAAUUUCUUUUGUUGUAAAAGGGUCAUUGGAAGGUGGCUUUCUUUUCGGAGAAAGUGUUUAUAGCCUUUGGCCUCUGCAAUCGGAGAGAUUGAGGUCUGCAGCGUAGAUCCUUCGGGGUUAGAUACAUUUGUGCUAAGUUAUAGCCUUUCAUAGACAACUUGUUGACUAUGAUCAGUCAUGUAGCUUACUCGCUUAUGCUAUUUUACCUACGCUUAGGAUGUUGAUGUGAUACUGCGAGCA
rnacentral:rRNA from 1 species